ensembl:lncRNA
GAGAUAAACUUUCUGCGUUACGUGCGUUGUUCUUUGGGGGCGGUGCUACAGGAGGUGUAAUCUCAGAGUAUGCACGCAUGGACCAUGUUAAAUUGAAGAGAGUGUGAGAUGUAUCACAGCUACCAUGAACCUGAAGGAGAAAUAGUGUUUAUUUUAUGUUUAAACAGCAGAGCCACAGUCUGCCUGAAACGUAAAAUACGUGGCUAAAAGGGCGGUUCAGCCACAGCCUAGAGAGGAAAGAAGAGGCGUUGUACAGCUGUAGCGCUGAAACAGCUCUUGUGAUACAGGAGCUUGAGCAGCUUUGGGCAGGACUCGGGAGAGCAAAACGAGCUUCUCCUUGCUGGCUGUUGUAAGGAAAGAAACUCCUACUAAGAUGGAAAGAGAAGAUAAUGAAAAUCUCUCUUCUACCCUCCAAGCCUGAGUCUCAGCUGUGGAGAAACUAGUUCAAUGGCUCAAAAAAAAGACCUGCUACAACACUUGUGAUUGAGUCCUGAAGAACAUGGAAGAACAGAUUCUGUCUUGUAACAAACUGAUUAAAAGCCUUCUAAAAAGGAUGCUGGAUGUUGGUGUUUGAAAUCCAGUCCUGGCUCUGGACAGAAGUUUAUCAUCACGCUGUAAAUACUUGAGAUCCAGGACCAUCACAGUAUGCAAAAAAAGCUUGUGAGUGAAUUAAGUGUGCUUGGAAGGGGAACUUACUGCCAGAAAUGCUUCCAUGUAAUCAGUGAGGUCUUCCCUCCACCUCUGGUUGGCAAGGAAAGGAAAGCUGAACAGAGGUAGAUGCUAGAAGUCAGAAAAACUACUGCGAGUGGAAUUGCAUCCCUGCACUACAGCAGACUGGCUGACUAAAGUUUAAUGACCCAGUUUCCUGGAAACAGUCAACUGUAGGGUGCCAUGCAGUAAGGAAGCAUUCUUCCCUGAAACAUUACAAAAGAACGACCUUGUUGCAAUAAACUUUCAUUUGGCUUCCCCGAUUUAGCCCUGUUACGAGGAAAUUUUAUUAUCAGGGCUGAUCUCAUGCAAGUGCCUAGAAUUCUGGAGUUUAUAAUGGAAAGCAAAUGCCACUGUAAUUUAUUUCAUUAUUAUUACUAUUAUGUUCUUCCACUUCAACAACAACAACAAAAUACUACUUUAUUGAACUUCAGUCAAGUCAGUCUUUAUGGCAGUCCAGGAAAAUCCAUCACUAGAGAAAGAAAUAUUUUCUAGAUGUACUUCAGUAAUAUUCUUUUCUUUUACUUUCACUAUAAUUUUACAACUUGGAGUUGAAGCCUCAUUUGAUAUGGAAUUAUAUUUAUAAGUGCUUUUACUAUACUUCCUAAGGGUCAGUCAGGGAUGUGAUGUUAGGCGUUCAGUGAAGAUGCAGCACUAAUAUAAAUGAAAAGUGCAGCAGCUAUGUGGUCAGAAGAUGAAAAUGGAGUACUCAGCACAUCUUUGUCUAAUAAAUAAAAUGGAUGCCACAUCAAGGCUUUCACCUCUUCCACUUGAAUUUCUCCAGUAUCUGAGCAUAUUGCAAAGCAGAGAAUAGAUUAUGUUCUUACAUUUACUCAUCUGCUUAGAUUCAAAACCAAAGGGAAACAUUAACAGAGUGGGUAAAAGGAGCAGCAGCUUGUUUCCACAGCUUUCUGGGUGGAAGGACAGAGAGGCUGAAGCUGCUGUACAAUGAAGGUGAGGAUGUUGUGGAACAAAUGUGAGCAUGUUGCAAAGAAGGGAAGUACAAGCUAGGACUGUAUCAAUUGGACUUGAGGGCAGCUGCACCCGGUCUGAGGAUCCUACUUCAGGCAGGUUCUAUGGAAUCUCUGGCUGACUGUUCUCAUCUGACUGUGGUGGUGGUUUUGUUUGUUUGUUUUUUUUCUUCAUUCCUUAAGAUGUGUUUCAGCUAACUUAGUUUUUGGGGGAAGUUUUGGUUUACGGUUAUUUAAGCCUACAGACUUUAAUAUCAUUCAAAGCUGAUGACAAGGAGUUAUAGCUAUCUCUGCCUUGCUUAGUAGUGAUGUUAAAAUACUGUAUUCUCUAUUACAAAGCUAUAGCUAUGCAAACCAUAUAAGAACAGGAAUCUCAAUACUGUAACUGAAAAGAGAAGGCAUCUUUA